rnacentral:rRNA from 1 species
CGGAUUNAAGGCUGAAAUUCGCCUUCAUGAAGCUGGAAUUGCUAGUAAUGGCAGGUCAGCAUACUGCCGUGAAUACGUUCCCGGGCCCUUGUACACACCGCCCGUCACACCAUGAGAGUUGGAAAUACCCGAAGCCUGUGAGCUAACAGUAAUGAGGCAGCAGUCGAAGGUAGAGCCAAUGAUUGGGGUGAAGUCGUAACAAGGUAAC